AGGUCACUUCAGCUUACUUUCAUCAUCUCCGAUACUGUUUGUGUACUGCAAAGGGAUCUGAGCAUGCAAGGCUAAGUAUAAAUCCGUACAGUUGGCUGUGUUGGUCUUGUAUGCAAUAAGAAACCAUUCAUGUUUGCUUGGAAAAGAAGCAGAGCAAGGUGUUAAUCUGGAGAUCUCUGCCUCUUUGGAAGUGAUAUGAUUGCUAAAGAUCACAUAGGCAGAUCUUCCAUCUUAGAACCAGAUCAUAGUGUCAUCACAAGCAAAGCCUGUGCAGUGUUGUUGGUUCCCUAAAGCCUUCUGGGAAUUCGACUUGGAACUGUUGUCACAUAGGAAUACAGGUGAUCCUCGUCUUUUAUACUCAUGGCAUGGUUGUAGCUUUUUAACUUUUAAUGUAAUUCUACAUUUUGUUACAGGAAGAGUGAAAGUGUAUUGUAGACUCCUUGAGACUGAUUUUUUUUUAGAUGGUGCUUGCUUCAAUAGUUUUCUCCUAUCUGGCAUCCUUACAUACUUAUUGUUCAACACCUUCUCUAGUGAUUGGCAACUUGUCUUCCUUCUAUGAAUGAAGAGCUGUCUGGCAGUCACCAGGCUUUGGAAAGGGUUAAUUUCAAAGGAUUCCUGCUCUUCAGUUGGCCACUGUGUUCCCCAGACAUCAGUCUGAGAGGUGGGUGACUUCAACAGCAGAUGGUAUGAGACCUGUUCAUAUAGCAGAAAUGCUCAGAUUCUCCAUUUUAAACUCUAAGAUGUGUAAGCACUUUUCUGAAGGCUUGAUAAAUGUAAUUCUCUGUCCUUUUCUGAGUCUGUCUCUUCAGUAUUUAUAUUGUCUCUUA